rnacentral:lncRNA from 1 species
AUAUAGAGAAUUCUAUCACAACAAUCAAUUAAUAAGCUCAAGUGGAAUCAAGUCACACUUGGCAACAAUCAUGAAAAUGAAUAAGGAAUGUGCUCAUGGUGCAAAGUACAAACUUCUACUCACCCGUCAAUCUGGCACAGCCCUGAUACGCCUUUAGAACUUUACAGUAGGCAGCAGGGGACUUCUUCUUCUUCUUGUUCCCUAGCUUCUUGCCUAACUGAAACAUACAUUAAUCAUGCUCUUAGUCUUGUAUCAAGGACUCAUAAUCUAUGUAUCAAUCAUAAACAUAGAAAACUUUAGUUGACUCAACUCCCCCUUUCCUAAAUCUUUUCUUUUCUUCUUUUUUUAUUAAUUAACUCACCAUUUAUAUGUAUUAGGGACUCCCUUGCAUGAGUACAAGGUCCCCCUUAGCCUAAUCUAGGCUUAAUACCCUAUUAUGGCAUGAAAUUUCUUACUUUUCCACCCGGAUGAACAGUAACCCGGACCGACAGCUGGUUACUUCAUCCCGAGUUUGAUCCACUUUCCGAACUCCAUUUUUUAUGAAUUUUAUACCCAAUGUUCUACACUCAUAGAGGUUUUCAAAAUGGUAAGAUACAUCAUCAUCGAAGGCUGAUUGACCUCCGAAAUAAUUCACCGAAGUUGGGACUUCGACACAGUUUUUCCGCAAUCUCGGAAAAACUUGUUGAAAUUUGAUUCUUCCUCUUUUAACCACCUCUAAAACUGUCAUCUACCCUUUCUAUAGCCUAAAUUCUUUAGAAUACUAGGUAGGGAUGGGUAUUUACCCUUUUCUUUUCGGAGGAUUGGGUCUUUGCGUAGAGGGGAAGGAGACCUACGCUUUUUCCUUCAGCUGGCAGCGCAACCGGGGCUCCCUUCCACCUCGAAUCCCUUCCUCUCUCUCUUUCUCUUCUUCUCUU